CUUCCUCGAUCUGCUGCGGGCAGAUGAAGUGGAUAUGCGCGUCGAAGCCGCCGGCCGUGAGGAUCUUGCCUUCGCCGGCGAUGAUCUCGGUACCGGGGCCGAUGAUGAUGGUGACGCCAGCCUGCGUAUCCGGAUUGCCGGCCUUGCCGAUCGCCGCGAUGCGGCCGUCCUUCAGGCCGAUAUCGGCCUUGACGAUGCCGGCAAGCGCGUCGACGACCACGGCGUUGGUGAUGACGGUAUCGACCGCGCCGCCUGCCCGCGUGACCUGGCUCUGGCCCAUGCCGUCGCGGAU
rfam:Mesorhizobium sp. SOD10 genome assembly, contig: MPLSOD_Contig_46